GAUGAACGCUGGCGGCGUGCCUAAUACAUGCAAGUCGAGCGAAGCGGGGACGGGUGAGGAAAACGUAGAUAACCUACUAUGAGACUGGGAUAACGUAGGGAAACCGGAGCUAAACCGGGAACUUAUAGAUGGCUCCGCGCUGCAUUAGCUAGUUGGUAAGGUAACGGCUGACCAAGGCAACGAUGCAUGGCCGACCUGAGAGGGUGAUCCGCCACCCUGGAACUGAGACACGGUCCAGACUCCUACGGGAGGCAGCAGUAGGGAAUCUUCCGCAAUGGACGAAAGUCUGACGGAGCAACGCCGCGUGAUGGAGUACGGCCUUCGGGUUGUAAAGCUCUGUUAAUCGGGACGCGGUACCGGAAUAGAAAGCCACGGCUAACUACGUGCCAGCAGCCGCGGUAAUUC
rnacentral:rRNA from 1 species